rnacentral:rRNA from 1 species
AUUCCAGCUCCAAUAGCGUAUAUUAAAGUUGUUGCAGUUAAAAAGCUCGUAGUUGGAUUUGUGGUGUACUUCGGCGGCCCGUCACUAUGUGAUGGAGCUUGCUGAAGUCGCCAUCCUUGGGUGGAUCCUGUGUGGCAUUAAGUUGUCGUGCAGGGGAUGCCCAUCGUUUACUGUGAAAAAAUUAGAGUGUUCAAAGCAGGCUUAUGCCGUUGAAUAUAUUAGCAUGGAAUAAUAAGAUAGGACCUUGGUACUAUUUUGUUGGUUUGCGCACCAAGGUAAUGAUUAAUAGGGACAGUUGGGGGUAUUCGUAUUUCAUUGUCAGAGGUGAAAUUCUUGGAUUUUUGAAAGACGAACUACUGCGAAAGCAUUUACCAAGGAUGUUUUCAUCA